rfam:Clostridium sp. CAG:451 genomic scaffold, scf7
AUACUUGGGCAAGUGCUAGGGUAACCUAGAGGAAAGUCCAUGCUCGCACUAUCUGUGAUGAUAGUAGUGUUCGUGCUUAGGGAAAAAAUAACCUAAGGUAGAUUUAUUCUAACGGCAAAACUUUAUCUAAAGGAUUAUCCUAUGAUAAAGUGAUAACGUGCCACAGAAACGAUACUUUUGGAAACGAAAGGGUGAAACGAGGUAAACCCCACGAGCGAGAAACCCAAAUUUUGGUAGGGGAGUCUCCAUGAAAGAAAGAUAAUGGAUUGGAGGACUAGUAAUAGUAGAUAGAUACUUGCCACCUAGUAAUAGGUACAAAACAUGGCUUAUAAAG